rnacentral:rRNA from 1 species
UACGGAGGGUGCGAGCGUUGUCCGGAAUCACUGGGCGUAAAGGGCGCGUAGGCGGCGCGGGGAGUCAACGGUGAAAGCUCGGCGCUCAACGGCCGAGUCGGCCGUCGAUACUCCCGUGCUUGAGCACUGUAGAGGCAGGUGGAAUUCCGGGUGUAGCGGUGGAAUGCGUAGAGAUCCGGAAGAACACCGGUGGCGAAGGCGGCCUGCUGGGCAGUAGCUGACGCUGAGGCGCGACGCGUGGGGAGCAAACAGG